CAGCAGCCGCGGUAAUACGUAGGUGGCGAGCGUUGUCCGGAAUUAUUGGGCGUAAAGGGAGCGCAGGCGGGCGAGUAAGUCUUUCUUAAAAGUGCGGGGCUCAACCCCGUGAGGGGAGAGAAACUACUCAUCUUGAGUGCAGGAGAGGAAAGCGGAAUUCCUAGUGUAGCGGUGAAAUGCGUAGAUAUUAGGAAGAACACCAGUGGCGAAGGCGGCUUUCUGGACUGUAACUGACGCUGAGGCUCGAAAGCCAGGGGAGCGAACGGGAUUAGAUACCCCCGUAGUCCCUGUCUCUUAUACA
rnacentral:rRNA from 1 species